UGAAAUCUGGCCCCCGGGUCCGAGUUGUAAUUUGUAGAGGAUGCUUUUGGCGCGGCGCCUUCCGAGUUCCCUGGAACGGGACGCCAUAGAGGGUGAGAGCCCCGUCUGGUCGGCCGCCAAGCCUCUGUAAAGCUCCUUCGACGAGUCGAGUAGUUUGGGAAUGCUGCUCUAAAUGGGAGGUAUAUGUCUUCUAAAGCUAAAUAUUGGCCAGAGACCGAUAGCGCACAAGUAGAGUGAUCGAAAGAUGAAAAGCACUUUGAAAAGAGGGUUAAACAGUACGUGAAAUUGUUGAAAGGGAAGCGCUCAUGACCAGACUUGGGCCCGGUCAAUCAUCCACCGUUCUCGGUGGUGCACUUGGCCGGCCCAGGCCAGCAUCGGUUCGGCGUGGGGGAUAAAGGCGUCGGGAAUGUGGCUCCCCCGGGAGUGUU
rnacentral:rRNA from 1 species